CAGUCGCCGCGGUAAUACGUAGGUGACAAGCGUUGUCCGGAAUUAUUGGGCGUAAAGGGCUCGCAGGCGGUUUCUUAAGUCUGAUGUGAAAGCCCCCGGCUCAACCGGGGAGGGUCAUUGGAAACUGGGGAACUUGAGUGCAGAAGAGGAGAGUGGAAUUCCACGUGUAGCGGUGAAAUGCGUAGAGAUGUGGAGGAACACCAGUGGCGAAGGCGACUCUCUGGUCUGUAACUGACGCUGAGGAGCGAAAGCUAGGGGAGCAAAUGGGAUUAGAUACCCGCGUAGUCCCUGUCUCUUAUAC
rnacentral:rRNA from 1 species